AAAAAAAUUAACGCUAAUUAGAGAGAUAAAUGGAGUUAAUUAGAAGAAGAAAAGCACCCGAAAAUGAAAUUCAUCAGCAUGACAUAACAGACGAUGAAGAUGAUAAGAAAAUUAAGAAUAGUAACGUUAGAACCAAGCAGAAAUGGUCAUGUAUUGAUAGUUGUUGUUGGUUUGUAGGAUGCAUAUGCACUGUGUGGUGGAUUUUGUUAUUUUCAUACAAUGCAAUGCCAGCGUCUUUUCCUCAGUACGUAACAGAGGCGAUUAAUGGGCCAGUAGCUGAUCCCCCUGGUGUUAAGUUACGAAAAGAAGGAUUAAUGGCUAAACAUCCAGUAGUUUUUGUUCCUGGAAUUGUUACUUGUGGCCUUGAGUUAUGGGAAGGACAUCAAUGUGCUGACGGAUUGUUUCGAAAACGGCUCUGGGGUGGCACUUUUGGAGAAGUAUACAAAAGGUAUGAUACUUUAAUUUUGUUAAAUUGCGCGAUAAUGUGAUCAUUGUUAGUGAGAGUACACUUUUAAUUACUUGAUUAUGUCAUCAACACGCCCCUCACGUGAGGGUUAAUUCUUUUUCAUGGGCGAAUUAGGUGGCGGUUAGAUACAAAUCCAGGACCUCUUGUCGGCUUUGAUAACAUAUUGAAUUGUGUGACUAUCUCAUUUAAAAGCUUAAGUUGUUAGAGAGAGUACACUUUAGUUACUUAAUUAUGUCAUCAACACACCCUUACGUGCUGUUUUGUUUUCCUUUCCUUUAUAUAUAGGGGUAGGAGAAGGGAAAAUGGGGAGGAGAUUACAAGGUGGGAAUCGAGUCGUUACCAACUAGGUGAAAGUUCAGGUAACCAACCAACUGAGCUACUAAGAUUCCUCUCUCACGUGCGGGCUUAAUACUUUUUAAUAGGUGGUGGUGAGACACAAGUCUAAGACCUCUUGCCAGCUCUGAUAAUAUGUUGAACUGUGUGACUAUCUUAUUUAAAAGCUUAAACUGUUUGAGAGAGUAUACUUUUAAUUAUUUAAUUAUGUCUUCAACAACGUCGCAAAAAAGUUACUUUUGAUUUUCAUUUAUUGUGUAUGAUGGUUACAGACCAUUGUGCUGGGUGGAACACAUGUCAUUGGACAAUGAAUCUGGAUUGGAUCCUCCAGGUAUUAGGAUUAGGCCAGUUGCUGGACUUGUUGCUGCUGAUUACUUUGCACC
rnacentral:lncRNA from 1 species